rnacentral:rRNA from 1 species
AUGCCCGCUCUCCAGCUUGGCGCGCUUCUCCUUGAUGAUUGCCGCGACGGUUCGCCGCCGGCGAGGCACUUGCCGAAGGAGGUGAAAGGCAGGUUCACCGGGAUCGCCCAGAUGCCCCUCACCAGCUGCUGGAACUCCGCCGAGAGCUCCCGCCUCACGGCGGCGUGGUCAGCUCGCCCGAGCCCGAAAGAUGACGGUGCACAUGAUGCCGAAGGUGAGCGACUUCAUCGACGGCAUCACCGCGACGGUCGUGCGGCCGUCCCAGUGGGCGCGGAGGUGGUGCCGGACCUCGUCGUCCAUGCUGGCGACGUAGCUCCUGACGAUGUCCAGCUUGAGGAACUGGACCAUCAUGGCCCUUACGCGGCGGUGGUCGUCGCCGACCAGCUCCCGGAUGUUGCGCCUGCCGACCAUACUGUUGAAGGAGGUGGAGCUCUUGGCGGUGAGCGCGGUGCUGGCGAAGAGGAACUUGUUGGCGGCGGGGCCGACGAGGAAGGCCGUGGGGAGGCCGAAGAGGGAGAGCUUUGA